rnacentral:lncRNA from 1 species
ACAAAUCCUGCAAAUCAAACGACCACCCAUAGUAAAAUUAUUAAGUACUGUUUUCUUUCUCAUUUGCUCGAAGCAUUACUUGUCUUUACAUGCGAGGACACUGGUUGAAUGAGAAAUACACAUUUUGUUGAUUGUCGUCCUUGUAUAAAUAUAUAUUAGUAAAAAUAAAGACAUAAAAUCAAUAAUCCCACACACUUCGACAUAAUACACGUUGCCCAUGCCACUGGAGAAGAUAGUGUGGCUUGUCAAUAUCAGCAUAUAGUACUAAUAUUCCGUGGUUAGUCCCUGCAAAAGGAAAGAGCAAUCACAUAAGUAUUUCAUGCUGCAUUUGCAAACUAAAGCCACAAAAAUACAUAACAAAAUCACAAGGUACUCACCCAAAAGCUUAGUUUUUUCUAUAUUGGCCUCACUUUGUCAUCAAAUGCUAACAGUAACAUCCCAUUUUAGUUUCAUAAUUCUUCCUAUAUGUCUAGUAAUCUGAAAAAAAAGUGUCUACAAAAUCACAUCAGAUUGUUAGUACAAAUCAUAUCAAUUUUUUACUGGAUAUGCACAUACUCCCUCCAUCCUAUAAUAUAAGAUGUAUAUUGGUUGUAGUAACAUCUUAUAUUAGGGACGGAGGGAGUAGAAAUUAUUUCUCCAUUUGAUUCAUCUCCACGCUCCAUAAUUGGCAUCCAUCUACAAGCACAAGCCAAUUGUGGCAAGAAGGUCUUUGUAAUGCAGCGUGCACCAAGUGUUUUAGAAGAUCUACGAUGAUGCACGCCUACGAAUUCAGGCCCGAGUUUAUGGGUUGUACAUUCGGAGAAAGGGGUGUUUGUUGGCCAAUGUGCCUCUUCUUUCAUGCUUGCGCCCAGUUUGCCCCCUACGGGGGGAUGUUUGCGUCCACCCACACGUGUACAUUAUGUUCUUCUCAUCUUUAAUGCAACGAGGCUAAAGUGCUUCUUGCCGUUUCACCAAAAGAGCCAAUUUCAAGUUUUUUAAAUACAGAAAUAAUUCGCAUAGACAUUAGGAUCAUGAAAAUGAUAAUGAAAAGAGCCAAUUUCAAGAUUUCUAAAUACAGAAACACUUCACAUUAACUGACUAAUGCCUUUUGGUACUCCUAAUCAUUUUAACACAAACUAUGUAUGUCAUUGGCAGCACAAAAUAAUUGAGAGCCUAUAUAUAUAAUCAAUUACAUUUCGGAGAAAUAUAAUAAUGUAAGUUACCUCAAGUGAGAAAUGUACUUCCCCUCAACUGCCCUGCUCUUUCCUCUAUCUUCCUCUAAGUUAGCCUCUGGAAAUUGUUAACAACACUGCAUAUCAGAAAAUUUGUUAGACAAGGGCAUAAGUUGUGAAUACUCCUGCAUAGACAAAAUAACUGAGAGAAGGAGGCUAGAGAGGAUAUGUCAAUAUACCCUAGGAUGUUGAAAGCUCUUUAUUUCAGAGUCACGGCAAAGAAGAUGGAACAUACGGCUAAAAUCUAACAUCUUUCUUAGUUGUACAAACCUAUGAAAAUGAGGAAGUAGUGCAAAUGCAAAGAAUGCCGGAAAAAACACAACCACGAGACAAGCAAUUUAUUAACUACCUUGGUAAUGAUAGAACAUUACAGAGUUCAUGAGCUCUAUACCAUCAGGUGGCGACAUGGUCCUGCAAGUCAUGUUCGAGAAGACAAUGAGAUUUAAGUUGCAAGAAGUGCGUCUGUUAUGCUAUCUAUUUCAUUAAAAAUAAUUAAUAAAAUUAAAUUAUUGUGGAUCAAAUCUAUUAAAAUCUAAACAUACCAUCCAGAAAACUGUUGUAGGGGUGUCACUGGAUGCAAAUCUUGCUAGUCCAAGACCACAUAUCUUGAGUUUGCAGUUCCCUUGGAAGUCACAUAUCUUGAGUCCUACCCUAAUCCAAAACCACAUAUCUUGAGCCCUACCACAAAUCGCUCAGAAGUCAGAAAUGAUUCCUUGGACAUAUAUUCUUUGGUAGAUACUGCAAGUCUGCAACCUGAGGUCACAACUAUUUCACUUGAGUGUCAACAUGUCAAAAUCUAGUGUAAGAAGAAAUUAUCCAAAAAAUUCCUUUAGUAGGACUCAAAGAGAGAUAAGAUUGGCAGCUUCCACUAUAUGUUUACAAAAUAAGAAUUACUUAAAAUACACAACCCAUUUUCUUGAGAGCCUUGGGCUAAACCAAGUUCCGAAGAAACAAUUUGGUCAGCAUAUUUUAGAACUCUGCAAUCACUAAUUGCACUACCAUUAGUCUGAAAAAUUCUCAAGCACAUUAUUUCUGAAUUCCAUAGUAUCCAUAAUGUUGCCGAUGGGACAAACAUCAUAUGGCAAGUGCUCUCUGCACAUGUGAAAUCAAAAGAGGUACAUGCUAUUUACCUGAUGUACGAAUCAUAUCCGGUCUGUUCACAGCCAUUUAUGACAUUUUGGCAUUCAGAUGGUUGCUCACAGAAAGCGAGUUGUCCCAAUCUGCACACUUCAAAUCAGAAAGAAACUUCUCUACUGCCUGCUAUCCCUAGCAGCAGCCAGUCGCAGGACCCUCGCCUUCCUUGGCAUCGGCCUGCCAUGUAACAGAGGUUGAAUUAUGAUAAAUAUAAUCCUGGACUAUGUAAAACCAAAUGAUGACGUGAACAUAAAAGGCACUUGAUUUCUACAACUGAUCUAACGAACUAAAAAUAGUCUCCUUAUAGAUGAUGACGUGAACAUAAAAAUAGUCUCCUUAUAGAUGUAAAACCAAAUGAUGACGUGAACAUAAAAGUCACCAUACGCCUAUUUUUUCCUCGGUUUGUCUCACCCGUGAACAACCAACUUUAUAGAAGAAGAAAACACUCGACACAUAAAAUGAAAGACCUUAUAGAAUAUGGAAGUGUUCCUUGCUCCAGCAACAUUGCCGACAUAUGCAUCUCCUCAUUUCCUCAAGCAACAGCCAACCAUGGCGCUUCUCCAUUUCUGAAGCAAGUUAAUAUGAUAGAAUCAGGAAUAAAUCUAUACUUAUCUCCAUUUCUGAAGCAAGUUAAUCUGAAUGAUAUUUGAGGCUAGUAUGGGCCGGAGUGACAUAUAUGACUGAGAUAAUGUAACAAAACUAUGCAUAUUCAUGUGGAUCACGAAAUAGAUCAGAAGCUCGUAUUUCAAUAUCAGCGAAUGGACGUGCAAAUUUUGUGCAGAGUCGCGUUUGGUUCUGCAAGAUCUAAAGGGAAAAAAAUACAGUGAGAGGCUCACGCUGCUGCUGCAGGCUAACGUACCUUGAGGAGGCACUGGAUUCGGGCUUGGAGGAGGACGUCAUGGGAGAACGAUGUCCGGGUCGUUGGAUGUCCGCGCCACCAGGGGUCUCCUCUUCCUCCUUUUUUUUUGAGAAGAAUAAAUAAUUGGUGUCAAGCAUAAGAUUGACAAGACCAGAUAUCAAGAAAACACACCAAAUCACUCGAACUAGCCCCGAUUCGAUUAAGAUUCAGAAUAAGUAGCAGGUACAGGUACAGAUCGAGGAUCAAUCCCAAUUUCUACAGAGUAAUCUAGGGUUCUAGAGCUACGCUAGGAAGUACAACUUGUAGAAUGGGGAAAGAUGCCGAGGGAUUGCUUGGAGAAGGAGAUAAGUAGCCGCGGUGGUGCCUCGCAUAUGCUCUGCUUCUGUCUGUAGGUGUCCAGCUAUUGACGGCAACGGUGUGACGAGGAACAGGAUACUGUUGGGGACGAGCGUCGUUGAUCGUCACUUAACGCCUUCAAUCUUGGUCGUCCAUAUCCCAUAUGAGUAACGCUUCGUCCUCGCUGCAUAUUUCUUCAGUUAAGGUGUUCAGUUCGUCAGGUAACUGCACUUGAGUUGCAGGGUCCUGACAAUUGCCCUCCUCGGAGGACGAUCCUUGUCCUCGAGGAUCCUUUUGUGGGAACAACGCUCGGAUGGUUGCGUUGAAGAACUCCGGGAAGGUGAACUUGAUGAAGUCAGCGUCUUCCCAUGUAGCUUCUUCCGGGGACAUAUUCAGCCAUUGGACGAGCCACUGUGUUACUAGUUUGGGAGGACGAGGAACUGCACGUGUUUCCAAAACCAUGAUUGGAGCCACUUUGAUCUUGCCAAAGGCGUCCACGAGUGGUAAUCCUGGAGCAGGGACAAUUGUAGGUCCAAUAUGGCGCUUGAGCUGACUCACAUGAAACACAUUAUGUAUUUGUGCAUUGUCAGGCAACAGUAACUUGUAAGCAGAAUUCCCAAUCCUUUGUAUUAUGCGAAAAGGCCCAUAGAAUUUUGUGGCUAGCUUCAAUCCAGUUCUAAUGCCAAAAGUAGCUAAUCGAUAUGGCUGCAUUUUGAGAUAUACCAUCUCUCCCUCUGUAAAGUGUCUUUCUGUUCGUUUAGCAUCAGCAUAUUUCUUCAUUCGUUGUUGGGCAACUAGCAGGUUCUGCUUUAAUUGUUGCUGCAUAACUUCCCUCUUUUGCAAGAAUGACUGAGCUUCUGUAUCACUAGGUCCAGGGAUUGAAACCUCUCCAAAGAGUGGAGGAGGGAAACCAUACAAGCACUGAAAGGGUGAAUAUUUUGUUGUUGUGUGAUAAGAAGUAUUGAACCACCACUCUGCCAUGGACAGCCAGGAGCACCAUUUCUUUGGUUCUUGAAAUGCCAUAACUCUGAGAUAAGCUUCUAAACACUGGUUCACCCUCUUAGUUUGGCCAUCAGACUGGGGGUGGUGUGUUGUGCUCAUGUUGAGUUUCACUCCCAGAGAUUUGAAUAAGGCUUGCCAAAAAUUACUAGUGAAAAUGGUGUCUCUGUCAGUAACCAUAGACACUGGAAGACCAUGUAGUUUGAACACAUUAUCAAUGAAUGCUUGCAGCACAUGAGUUACAGUAAAUGGAUGAGAUAGGGCAAUGAAGUGUGAAUAUUUUGUAAACCUGUCUACUACCACCAGUAUCACAUCUUUGCCCUGAGACUUUGGUAAUCCUUCCACAAAGUCCAUGGAAAUGUGUCUCCGCACCAUAUCUGGAAUAGGUAGUGGAUCAAGCAGUCCAGGGUAAUGACAAUGUUCUCCCUUAGCUCUCUGGCAAACUGGGCAUUGCUGGAUGAAUUUCUCAGUGUGUUGUUUAAGGUUUGGCCAAUAGAAAAUCCUCUUGAUUCUGUGGUAAGUGGCCCUUACUCCUGAGUGUCCCCCAACAGGAGAGGAUUGGAAAGUGGAAAGCAGUUUCUGUUGGAAGUCAGGGGCAGAUCCUAUGUAGAUUCUUUUCUUAUAUCUCAAUACACCUGCUGUAUAUGUAUAAAGGGGCAAGGAUUGACUGCCUGCAGUUAGUUGCUCAAUGAGGUGUUUGCAUUUGUCAUCUGCCUUAUAAGAAUCUUCAAUUUGAUCUGUCCAACUUGGUACUGCUAUUGAGAGAGACAUUGCUUGAGGCCUCCUGGAUAAGGCAUCAGCUGCUUUGUUCUCCUUUCCUUUCUUGUACUCAAUGGUGUAAGUGAAUUCCAGUAGUUUAAGCAUUAACUUGUGUUGAAUUCCUUCUGAUAUCCUUUGUUCAGUUAUGUAUUUCAGACUCUGAUGGUCUAUCUUAAUGAUCAGAGAUGAUCCCAGGAAGUAAUGUCUCCAUUUUCUUAAAGAUUCCAGGAUAGCUACUGCCUCUUUUUCAUAUGUAGAUAGAGCAGCUGCUUUUGGCCCCAGGGAUUUGCUAUAAUAAGCAAUUGGCCUGUGUUUCUGCAUGAGAACAGCUCCAAUGCCAGCUCCAGAAGCAUCACACUCUAGCUCAAAAGGGAUAGAAAAAUCGGGAAGGGCUAGGACAGGAGCAUUAGUUAAACUGUAUUUCAACUUGUUGAAAGCUGUAGUUUGCAUUUCUGUCCACAGAAAAGAGUCCUUCUUCAACAAAUCAUGUUGUGGUCUGUAGAUCAUGCCAUAAUUCCUGAUAAACCUCCUAUAAUAUCCAGCUAAGCCGAGAAAGCUUCUUAAUUCAGUGAUAUUAGAAGGUGUGGACCAUUGCUACACAGCAGUGAUUUUCUCAGGGCCUGUUGCCACUCCCUAAGCAGAGAUGACAUGUCCAAGGUAUUCCACUUUGGAAGUGCCAAAAGUACACUUGGAUUUGUUGAGCAGUAGGUUAUUUUCCUUUAAUAUGUACAGGACCAGCUUCAGGUGUUUUUUAUGUUCUGCUUUGGUUUUGCUGAAUAUCAGAAUAUCAUCAAAGAAAACCAAAACAAACUUCCUCAGAUAAGGGACAAAAAGCUUGUUCAUAAGAGCUUGAAAGGUUGCAGGUGCAUUUGUCAAUCCAAAGGGCAUCACCAAAAAUUCAUAGUGCCCUGAGUAAGUUCUGAAUGUUGUUUUAUGCACAUCUUCGGCUUUCAUUCUAAUCUGAUGGUACCCAGAUUUUAAGUCUAGUUUACUAAAAACUGCUGCUCCUUGAAGUUCAUCUAGUAAAUCUUCAAUCAUUGGUAUAGGAAACUUGUUUUUUAUUGUUUGUGCAUUUAACUUCCUAUAAUCUAUGCACAAUCUCCAAGUUCCUCCUUUUUUCCUGACCAAUAUGGCUGGUGAUGCAUAAGGACUUAGGCUAUGCUGAAUGAUGUGUCUGGAUAGCAAGAUUUUGAUUUGUUGUUCCAUUUCAUCUUUUUGCAAAUGGGACACCCUGUAAGGUCUCACAUUGGGAGGUGUGGAGUUUUCCUGGAGGGGUAUUGAGUGAUCACAAUCUCUUGGAGGAGGCAAAACAGUAGGCUCUUUGAACAGUUCAUCAUACUGUUCCAAAACUUGCAGUAUAUCUUCUGGUGUUUCUUGUGCAGCUUGGAAUUCUUUGCCAGCAGUUGACAUGAAGUGAAGGCUCAUAGUAAAACCCACUACUCCCUUAGAACACAUCUGUUCCAGUUUCUCUGCUGAAAUUAUUUUAGGAACAACAGUAGUUGUGUAAGCUUGUCCUUGGUCAUAGUGACUGUUCUAGCUUCAAAGUCACUUGCUAUGGGGUUGUGUUGGUUUAACAUAUCACAACCUAGAACCACAUCAUAUCCUUGUAGUUCCAACACUGUGAAAUCAUUUGAGAAUGUUUCAUUGCAUAUUUUGAAGCUGGUGUUGGGAGCAUGAGCACCUAAAGUUAAUGAACCCCCACCUGCUACUGUUACUCUCCUAGUAGGAGUAUUUAUCAGCUGGCAGUUAGCUUUCAAAGCAAACUUCAUAUCAAUGAAGGUGUUAGUACUGCCAGUGUCCACCAAAGCUACCCCUUGUCUGCCCCCCACAAGGAUAUGUACUGCUAGAGUAGAAGGGGAAGCAUUUCCUGAAAUUGCUUGCGCAGAAAUGUGCAUGCACUGAUUAUCAGAUUCAGUCCAUUGACCUUCAGCUGCGAGCACUGCAAGAUGUGCUUCUUCUUUAGGUGUGACCUCUUCAGUGUUCUCAGGACCAGCUAUAGCAUGUACUGAAGGUGCCUGUUUGCAUUUAUGGCCUGGCACCCAGGGUGCAUUACAUCUCCGACAAACUCCUGGUUUUUUUGUUGCUGGAGCUACUGGUGGUACUUGCAAAUUAGGAGCUGGUGGAAUAGGAUGUUUCUGUUGUCCAGGAUGGGCUUGCAGUCGUUCUUGCUGGUUCAUGUAAGAUUGGUACUUUGCUUGCAGUCCACUCUCAUAGUCCCUUGCUAACCAGUAAGCAUGGUUAAGGGUUUUAGGUCUCUGUGGCCUUAACUUGCAUCUUAUGCUGGGCUUUAAUCCAUUGACAAAACUGACAACAUAGUAUUGCUCCUGCAAAUAGGGGUGUUCAGCUCUUACAAUGGCCAUGAUUUCUUCAAACUUGUCAGUGUAUGCAGCAACUGACAGUGUGUUUUGUUUGAGGCUAUGAAACUUCUCCAAUAUUUCAUAAAUACUAUGAUCAGCAAAUCUGUCACAGAUCCUUCUGCAGAAUUCCUCCCAAGAUGUUUUUGUAUUGUCCAGUUGAGCACUCCUAACCCAAUUGUCUACUCUUCCAGUGAAAUAAGUAAGGGCCAAAUCGACUUUACAUUCAUCAGGAGUUUGAGCCAAUUGGAAGUAUUUAGUGACCUGUCAGAUCUAGCCGAGGGGAUUUUCUCCAUUGAAGCAGGGGAAAUCCAAUUUAGGCCCUUUUGAAAUGCUUCUCAUAAACUGAGCCGCACGUUCAGGCUGAUACUGUGUCGUGUGGCUUGCCUGCAACUGUACUGCUGGAUUAGUACCACUGUUCUCAUUUGGUGGUUGCUGCACACGCUGUUCAGCCCGUGGUUCUCCUUGAUCUUGCUGUUGCUGUUGAUUUUGAUUUUGCAGAGUUGUCACAGAUGCUAAAGCAAAGGACUCAGGGGCGGGUGGGUUGGGGUUUUCAGACCGCAUAGUGCACAAGAUGGAGAAGAUUUCCUGCUGAACUUCUGCGUUCUUCUCCACUAGUAACUCAACUUUUCCCAACUGCUUCUCCAGGGACUCGACAGAGAGCAACCUGGUGUUGACCUGAUCUAUCUGAUCUUGGAUCUGAUCUUGCUUGUGACUCAAAAUGCCCACUUCCUAGCGAAGUGUGUCGAUUUCUUCAGCUAUCUCGUCCAUGUGCUUCGUUCGGGUAGGCAUGGUCUCACUCACGGCUCCGGAAUUUUACAGUGGAACGAGUCCGAAACCCUCGCCGGUGAUCUCUCCCUUCCGCUGAAGAAUUCGCCUCCGAAGAACACCGCCACCGCAAUCGGCAACAAGCUGUGGAAUUUUACCAAGCCGAGACCCAACCACAGCGUGUUCCGACCGAUCCGCCUCCGAGGAACGCCUGGCUCUCUGAUACCAAUUGACAAUACCAAAUAUCAAGCAAACACACCAAAUCACUCGAACUAGCCCCGAUUCGAUUAAGAUUCAGAAUAAGUAGCAGGUACACGUACAGAUCGAGGAUCAAUCCCAAUUUCUACAGAGUAAUCUAGGGUUCUAGAGCUACGCUAGGAAGUACAACUUGUAGAAUGGGGAAAGAUGCCGAGGGAUUGCUUGUAGGAGGAGAUAAGUAGUCGCGGUGGUGCCUCGCACGUGCUCUGCUUCUGUCUAUAGGUGUCCAGCUGUUGACGGCAACGGCGUGACGAGGAACAGGAUACCGUUGGGGACAAGCGCCGUUGAUCGUCACUUAACGCCUUCAAUCUUGGCCAUCCAUAUCCCAUAUGAGUAACGCUUCGUCCUCGCUGCAGAUUUCUUCAGUUAAGGUGUUCAGUUCGUCAGGUAACUGCACUUGAGUUGCAGGGUCCUGACAAAGAUCAACAAAAAUAAGUCUGACGGGAGACAAAUCAAACACCCUGGAUAGCAUCUUUUCGGUGGCCAAAGAAUUGAUCUAAUUAAACACAAGCACGCAAAUAUCAUGAAUAGUACCUUUCGCUCUCGCCAUUGCAGCGCAUGCAGCGGCCACCCUCAGGCACGCGCGCGUUCGCUCACUCGGCAGUCCCCACAGCCGCGCUCGCCUUGGCCCUCGGCCAUGGCCGGCUCCUCGGUUCGAGUCGACACACAGCCAAUGCACGAUGACGGCUCUUGGCGGGCUACUAAAGCGGCGGCCAUUGGCCGCUCACAGCGCACCACCCGCGCGCGGCUCUCGGCGGCGGUGUAAAGGCCCUUUGCGGCCACAGGUGAAAGUUACUCCUUUUGAUCCCCUCUCGAUCGCCCAUGUCAAGAGUCCCGAUUUUUCAGGGGAUGGAUCUGCGGUGGUGUGCGGCUCCUGAAUCAGCGUCGGAUCCUGGACGUGAUCAAUGGCUGGUCCUCAACGGGGUCGGCGGCGUCUCUUGAAGUGGAUCAUCCGAUGGAGGGCGGCGGCUUUGAUGUGCGAGGGCGGUGGCGAAGGCAUGGAGCGGCGGCGGCGAAGGGACGAAGGGCGGCGGCGGGCGAACGAGGGCAGAGAGUCUGCGUGCGAGUGUUUCUAGAGACCAUAUAUAAGAACCUACAUCACAUAAGCAAGCAAUCAUAAACUGCCCAACAGAUUAAUAGGACAAAGUACAUUCGAAUAACCAAAGUCACAUACCUUCCGACAAGAAGUUGUACUUCCAUCCAGCGUCAUGGUGCCUAGUUGAAUUGCUUCCAAGCUCUGGCCGCGAUCAGAAGAGACUGAUAUGAAGCAGAGCAGGCAAAACUUGUCUUGCCGACAUAUGCAUAACUGAAACAAGUAGGUUGAAUCACAGAUGAAAACCAAGAAAAAACAAAACAAAAAAAAGUUUGAAUAAUGUGGCCUCGACCCUCAGAACAACGAGGAGAACCUCGACGCAGAGUAUAACAAAACAUGUCCCCUACACAUGCGAUGCACGGGAGGAUGGCGACAGCCCCGACGCAACCACACACGGGAAGAAUGCGGUGUUUCAAGAGACAGUGUUACACGAUGAUAUGAAACUCGCGUUGCAGCAUCCACCUCAAUGUCCCAACUUCGGAAAAUAUUUGUCUCGAUUCAAGAUUACAACCACAAUAUAAUUCCAUGCAAUAACUAUUCGGCAAUUUCCUGUCUGUUUCUGAGACACAUGCCAUAUAGCAAAUCAAGAACUAUUAAUGUUGUGCAGGUAAACAAUAAAUACAAAGUUGAACACAAGGGCCUGGAUGUGAAAUACAUUUAAUCAAAUUGAAUUUAUUUAGAAGUACUUAUUAUAUGGCCACAGUAUCUUAAAGCCGUAUUGAGCCUCUGACUACUCAGGCACUCACCCAUCUCAUGUCUACUUCUUAUCGGAUGGACUUCAACCUUUCUGAUUCAAACAACUCAUCUAGAACGCUGUUUACCUGAUGUUGUUUACCUAACCCCAGUACAUGUAGAUGCGCACUUUAGGUUACUAAUAAUUUUUCAAAUAUAGGAGCCUCUAUAGAACAUGAAAAUAAUGGAGGAGAGGAGAGAUAAAACCAAAUUGCAGUCCAGGUACAGUACGAACUUACCUAGGCAGGUGCUACAGCCUGCGAGGCAUUGCACCCAGGGCAUAUCUUG